rnacentral:rRNA from 1 species
GAUGAACGCUGGCGGCGUGCCUAAUACAUGCAAGUCGAGCGAAUGGAUUGAGAGCUUGCUCUUAUGAAGUUAGCGGCGGACGGGUGAGUAACACGUGGGUAACCUGCCCAUAAGACUGGGAUAACUCCGGGAAACCGGGGCUAAUACCGGAUAACAUUUUGAACCGCAUGGUUCGAAAUUGAAGGGCGGCUUCGGCUGUCACUGAUGGAUGGACCCGCGUCGCAUUAGCUAGUUGGUGAGGUAACGGCUCACCAAGGCAACGAUGCGUAGCCGACCUGAGAGGGUGAUCGGCCACACUGGGACUGAGACACGGCCCAGACUCCGACGGGAGGCAGCAGUAGGGAAUCUUCCGCAAUGGACGAAAUUCUGACGGAGCAACGCCGCGUGAGUGAUGAAGGCUUUCGGGUCGUAAAACUCUGUUGUUAGGGAAGAACAAGUGCUAGUUGAAUAAGCUGGCACCUUGACGGUACCUAACCAGAAAGCCACGGCUAACUACGUGCCAGCCGCCGCCUAA